rnacentral:rRNA from 1 species
CUAUGAGUAUUCUAAGGCGCUUGAGAGAACUCGGGAGAAGGAACUCGGCAAAUUGACACCGUAACUUCGGAAGAAGGUGUGCCCUAUUAGUGUGAAGUGAACAACGGAGCAUGAAUGGGUUGCAAAAAAUCGGUGGCUGCGACUGUUUAUUAAAAACACAGCACUCUGCAAACACGAAAGUGGACGUAUAGGGUGUGACGCCUGCCCGGUGCUGGAAGAUUAAAUGAUGGGGUGCAAGCUCUUGAUUGAAGUCCCAGUAAACGGCGGCCGUAACUAUAACGGUCUUAAGGUAGCGAAAUUCCUUGUCGGGUAAGUUCCGACCUGCACGAAUGGCGUAACGAAGGCCACACUGUCUCCUCCCGAGACUCAGCGAAGUUGAAAUGUUUGUGAUGAUGCAAUCUCCCCGCGGAAAGACGGAAAGACCCCAUGAACCUUUACUGUAGCUUUGUAUUGGACUUUGAACAGAUCUGUGUAGGAUAGGUGGGAGGCUUUGAAGCAGGGUCGCUAGAUCUUGUGGAGCUAACGUUGAAAUACCACCCUGGUGUGUUUGAGGUUCUAACCUAGGUCCAUUAUCUGGAUCGGGGACAGUGCAUGGUAGGCAGUUUGGCUGGGGCGGUCUCCUCCCAAAGCGUAACGGAGGAGUUCGAAGGUACGCUAGUUACGGUCGGACAUCGUGACGAUAGUGCAAUGGCAUAAGCGUGCUUAACUGCGAGACUGACAAGUCGAGCAGAUGCGAAAGCAGGACAUAGUGAUCCGGUGGUUCUGUAUGGAAGGGCCAUCGCUCAACGGAUAAAAGGUACUCUGGGGAUAACAGGCUGAUACCGCCCAAGAGUUCAUAUCGACGGCGGUGUUUGGCACCUCGAUGUCGGCUCAUCUCAUCCUGGGGCUGUAGCCGGUCCCAAGGGUAUGGCUGUACGCCAUUUAAAGAGGUACGUGAGCUGGGUUUAAAACGUCGUGAGACAGUUUGGUCCCUAUCUUCCGUGGGCGCUGCAGAUUUGAGGAAGCCUGCUCCUAGUACGAGAGGACCGGAGUGGACGCACCUCUGGUGUAUCGGUUGUCACGCCAGUGGCAUUGCCGAGUAGCUAUGUGCGGAAGAGAUAACCGCUGAAAGCAUCUAAGCGGGAAACUCGUUCCAAGAUGAGAUCUGCCGGGGCCUUGAGCCCCCUAAAGAGUCGUUCAAGACCAGGACGUUGAUAGGUCGGGUGUGGAAGCGCAGUAAUGCGUUAAGCUAACCGAUACUAAUUGCUCGUGCGGCUUGACCCU